ensembl:lncRNA
UACAUAAACUGUGGUCUAUUCAAAUUAAUACAAUGAAAUACUACACAGCAAUACAAAAAGAGCAAAUUAGUAUGACAUGCAAGAAAAUGGAUGAAUCUCACAGACACAAAGUUCCGUGAAAGAAGGCAGACACAAAACAGUGUAUUUUUUGUGAUUAUUCUCAUAGGAAGUUUAGCAAUAAGGGAAGUCACCUGUUAGAGGAGAAUGGUUAGGAAGAAUUUGCUAAACACAGGCACCCUGUAGAGCCCUUGACAAGCCUUGACUCACACGAAAUCUGCAAACCCUGUGACGCUGAUUCUUUUUGGAUCCCGUUUGUCAGAUGAGGGAAGCUCUGUGAGGAGUGUCGACUUAAAAAACCGUCACCAGCUGAAAGCUGAGAGUGAUGUUUUAUCUGGUUGGGUUUUUAAGAUGUCAAGCCUGGGAGACUGCAUCUCAAGGGACCCUGAGAGUACUGUCCCCAGGAGUUGGGGAGAGUCAGCUUAUAGAGGAAUCUGCAUCGAGGGGCAGGCAAUCUGAACAUCAAAAGAGUAUUGUUAACUAAAGAAAACCAGUUAUCGCAAGGAAUUUAGCGCUUUUCCAUGUGUGCUAAGUCGCUUCGGUCUCGUGUCCGACUCUUUGCAACCGCAAGGACUGUAGCCCGCCAGGCUCCUCUGCCCAUGGAUUCUCCAGGCGAGAACACCAGGGUGGGUGGCCAUGCCCUCCUCCGGAGAUCGAAGUCGUGUCUCCUAGUUUCCUGCGUUGGCAGCUGAGUCCUUCCGCACCAGCAUGGAGGGAAGGUGGAGUCUGGGCUCCCUGAGAUCUCUCCUUCCACAGGCACCUCACCUGUCUGGGGCCAGCGCCCUGUUUUCACAUCCUGAGCUCCCUUUCCUCAGGGCUCCCCGGAGGAAUGGCUGCAGUCUGAUGGCUGUAGGGCUGCAGGCUCUCCUCUCCCUGAGCUCCCGCAGGGCUCGCUGGAGGAAUGAAUGGCUGCCAUCUGAUGGCUGUAGGGCGGCAGGCUCUCCUCUCCCCUGAGCUCCCUUUCCUCAGGGCUCGCUGGAGGAAUGGCAGCCGUCUGAUGGCGGUAGGGCGGCAGACUCUCUUCUCCCCCUGAGCUCCCUUUCCUCAGGGCUCCCCGGAGGAAUGGCUGCCGUCUGAUGGUGUAGGGCUGCAGGCUCUCCUCUCCCCUGAGCUCCCUUUCCUCAGGGCUCCCCGGAGGAAUGGCAGCCGUCUGAUGGUGUAGGGCGGCAGGCUCUCUUCUCCCUCCUGAGCUCCCUCAGGGCUCGCCGGUUCACCCCAGGGAGGCUCGUGGCUGAGGCGCCCUUGUGUACGCCGCCUCCCAGGAGGGACACUGGCCGAGACCACACUUGCUAAGUGCAGAGUCCCUGCUCCCCCCGGUGGCCCUGUGCUGUCCUGACGAUUGUAUCAGCUGCUGCACAAGAACAAGCCGCUGGGGCUGCUGGGCCAAAAGGCUGCGUGAGAGCAAACGCCGCGCCUUCCCCGCCCGGCCUGAGCUGCCAUUAACACAAACCCAAGAUGGUACAAAGGCAAUAACGUGCCCUCCUACUCCGUCAAGAGCGGCAGGUGUGGGGCCUCUGAGGACCAGGUCCUGGGAGAAGCGAUGAACGUGAGCCCGCAGGGAGCUGAUGGGAAGGCCCUGCAAACGAGUCACACCCCCGCGCAGUUGUCCCACGCUUCUGCCCUCGAGGUGAUGAGUGAGAUCAUUGGUAAAUUUAAAAGCCAGUCCCUUGGACAGCAAAAAGAUCAAACCAGUAAAUCCUAAAGGAAGUCAACCCUGAAUACUCAUUGGAAGGAUUCAUGCUGAAGCUGAAGCUCCAAUACUUUGGCCACCUGAUGCAAAGAAUUGAAUCACUGGAAAAGACCCUGAUGCUGGGAAAGAUUGAGGGCAACAGAGGAUGAGAUGUUGCAUGGUGUCACUGACUCAACGGACAUGAAUUUGAGCAAAUGUUAGGAGAUAGUGGGAUUCCCUGAUAGCUCAGCUGGUAAAGAAUCUGCCUCCAGUGCAGGAGACCUGGGU